rnacentral:snoRNA from 1 species
AUCCUUUUGUAGUUUAUAAGUGUGACGAUUGGGUUUUCACGCUCAUGUGUGAGAUGUGCCUCCCUUAAACCUUGUUACGAUGUUGGCACAUUACCCAUCUGACG